AGCAGCUCUUUGGAGUACGGCUGGGACAUUUUUAAAGCUGUUGACCGAUGGGGAGCUGCUCUUCAGAGAGGAGAGGUGAUUAGGACACAUGUGCACGGAGGGAAGACGAAGUGAGGACACAGGGAGAAGGCGGCCGUCUGCCAGCCCAGGAGAGAGGCCUCAGGAGGAGCCCACCCUGCCGACACCUUGAUCUUGGACUCCCAGCCUCCGGAACUCUGAGAAGUGAAUGACUGUUGUUUAAGCUGCCUGUGUGUGGUGCUUGUUACAGCAGCCCUGGCAAACUACCCACUGGCUUUGAUAGAGGUCCCAGAAGAUUCCAGGCCGGGGCAGGAGCGUCCCCAGAGAAUAGUCUUCUUGCACUUGCGCUGUCAUCUCUGCACCUGCCCCCUUAAAGCCGGCCGUCUGAGACUGUGCUCAGGACCGUGUUCAGCAAAGCACGUAUUGAAUGACCACUAUUAACCCAUGGAGAACCUGCUUCAAAACUAAGUACAUGGGCAAAAAAGAGACUAGGAGUGAUGAUCCCCUUUGGGGAAAAACUGUCUUACAAAGAAGGAUUCAAAAGAUAAUCCUUUGACAGGGCAAUUGUUUUAAAGUGAUUUAUCUCUCCCAUCAAAACACCUGGGCUCUGGCUCCCACCGACAGUCUGAAGGCUUCCGUGUCUGAUGUGCUCCCAGUUCUGUCACAUGUCCCCGCUUGCCCACAUCAGAGAGACUCUCUCAGGGCACUUAGAUUUGGGAGUCCGCCAUCUAGAGCUCAGAGUUGAAUGGAACGCUCCCGCGUGGUCUGACUUUCGUGAAAGAGCAUCUCUUUUUGUUCGUGGUCCUUUGCCAGCUACUGCACUCUUUAUUUCAGCAACCACAGCUCACUGGCAGCUCUGUGGGCAACUAAAACCACUAGACCUCUCUCCUCACUUGAACUGCAAAGUCUCAGACCUCCCUGAAGUGCAUUUGAUCAGAGAGUAUUUUAAUGACUAUGUUGUUUCAAAGAGAUGCAUAAAUACUUUGCAUCCUGGAACAUGGCUGCGUCAGAUGAGUUUUGAGUAACCACAGCCCCCGUGUCGUCUGUUUGAACUGGACUCACCACUGACACUGAAAGGUCCUGCCUGCCCUUCUAGCCCUCUGGCCCGUCCCCUUCGCCGCAAAAGCCCAAAAUACUCCAACCCAAGUUUUUCAAGAAUUCAUUUGGUGGUAAAACCUGAUCCAGAGCUAUUUAUAGGCUAUAUUCAUCCCACUUCCUAUGAAUUCAGGCAUUUUUCUCUGCAGAAAUGUUUUAUUUGAUUAAUGGUUUCUUCUCUAGUGUUCACUGAGGGUUUGCCACCAAAUAUUCAGCAUAUUCAUUGUAUUAACCUUUUAAAUAAAAACAAAAACAAAAAACAAACCUUAAAUCAAAAACACAUCUGACCCUGAGGGUAGCAGAUGAGGGCUUAAGGACUUGUCUGAGCCCCAGCAUAAGUGUAAUUUUAAAAAAUUCACAGAUUGUUUUCUUGCUUUGUGACACGGUAUUGACUUUUGGUGCUGUAAAUAAAGCCACCUUUGGUUCUAGAAGUUCUGUAUUAACAUUGCACAUUGGCCAAUCCAGAUUAUAUCUGACAAAUCUCUCCAACGGCCUAGAGAUGGAGGCCACCAAGACUGCCCCCAUCAUUUCCAGAUUUAAGGGAAAUAUUCACUAUCACUCGGUGGCCAUCUUGGGAGCCUUGGGACAUUUUUGGCACUUGCUCCUACUCAAAGUAUUUAGAUUCUUAAGAACACAGGAAAUUAAAUUGGAAGGCUUUCCUCCUACACAGUUAUCAUAUUAGAACCUUCUGGGAUAAAAUUUUAUCAGUUUAAUACAGCUUCAUGAUACGAAAUGGAGCACAAAUGUUAUCAAAGCAUUUUAUUCAAAAGCAUAGUCUCUGUAAGUUGUCUUUUUAAAAAGUGUGAAUGGUGAGUUAAAUUAUUGCAUGACUUUUCUCCCCAAAUUAAAAUUUUUAGAAGAAAUUUCCUCUCACAUCUGUGUGGACUCCAGUGGGGCAUUUUUAAAGUAAUUCCUUUGCCCACUUAGAAUAUCCAACUGAGUCAGGAAUAUUCCACUGUAAGGGUAUUUCACUUGUUUUAUUUUGCAAGAAAACAUGAAGAGAAGCCAAUCUAUUCCUUUUGUGGCCCUGAAUGCCACUGAUUUCUCAGCCAUGCAAUAGUGAUAGUACCAUCCAGAACUUCAGGAGUGAUUGUGUGAGUUCAAGGUAAUUUUUUUAAGUGCCAAAGCACAGAAGAGAACAAGGAGAGAAUGGUGGGUGUAUGGGUAUCUUUGUGUAUUUAUAGUCGUCAUUCCCAUCAGGAAGAAUGGCAAGGUGUCCUCAGUUCAUCAGGUAGUCAAAGUGUAGAGAUAGAGAACUAAAGUCUCAUUCAACCAGCAGAAGAGGAAAGGUGGGUGGUGUGAGCUCAUCUGAGAGAUGCUCUGGGCAGAGAACACAGGAAGCUUGGGUGUGGAACGUGACAGUUAAAAUCAUAAGGGUGGGGGGCUGAGCAAUUGUUUUAAUUCAGUGAAGCUUGUCAGAUGCUGGUGUUUUGCUACUGAGUACCUUUCAGCAGCUACUGCCCAGGAUGUAGUUUGUUUGAGCAAAGGGAAAGCCUUCACCACAGGCAAAAUGAGAAAUGAGCUUAUACUUAUGUUUCAGUGCCCUUGAUCUUUCCCACUGUGUAAGCAAGUAAAUAUGGCCCCUCCUUUAAUUGACCCCCUUCUACACUCUUGGGACAGGAGUCAAGGCAUCUGUGGUGUACAUAGUGUGUCCCCUAAAAGAAGGCCUGAACAUGCUUUCCCAGUGGGAUUCUGACAGCACCUCGGGAGGCCUUCUUGGAGGGGCUACAAAAGUACCAAGUGUCCCCUCCUCCUCGGGACACAUGUCAGGCCUACAAGCUUUACUUUAGGUUCUGUGAGCGUCCCGUACCUAAGGAAGGAAAAAGGCACAUUUCCUCCUCCUUAUUCCUCCUUUUUGACUACAUCCUCCUCAGGGAAACUGAACUACCUGGGGAAAGAGAAGGUCUUCUUUUGAGCAGAUCACUUCGCAAUAUGGGUCAAAGCGGGGGGGCGGCUCUCAAGCCUGGUCAUGCAUUAUACUCACCUUAAAUUCACUGGGAAGCUUUUCAAGUACACUGACACAUCCCCUCCCCGCUCCCCCAGGGCAAAACAACAGAGUCAGGGUCUUGGGGUGGGGGUGAGGAUUCCGUUUUUCAAGUUCUCAGUGACCUGGGACGUGAAGAUGUAAGCCAGCCUGCACGCCUCUGUACACCGAGAUUAAACAAACACCUACCCAGCCCCUGAUUCUGCCUGCCAGGAACCCUCACGGGAUUCCUUACACUUUCUCUCCACGUUGGGUCACGUGUGUGAUUGUGAAAUAAAGCGUGAACAGGUGGGUGUUUGUAGAAGAUGCACCGUGGCGAAUCAGGUGACCAGCUGUGCAGGCAUUAGAUGAUAAUAGUUCACCUUUGCGAAGACAGCUCUUGUGAAUUGAGAAUUUUAGACUGUUUUAGAAAGGACCUUUUUUUAAAAAAAAAAAAAAAAAGAUCACACAGGAAAAGAAGUUAAAAUUUAGGGAAAGCAAAAUAUUCCACCCCUUUCCCCAGGCACCCAACAUCUAGGCAACACAAACAAAGUGAAAUUGUAAUGGUGCUUGCUGAGCCUGUUUGAAAACAAAUCCUGUUGGGCCCCCAUAAAGGGAUAAUCAGGUGUCCAGCCCAGCAACUCCUCAGUUCUCCAAUCUGAAAACACUCAAAGGAUGGAGGUAGAACUUGUACACAAUUUUUUAAAGGAUGUAUCUAAUGGAAUCACCUCUCAUCCCACCCCCACCAACUGGUACUCAUUUUUAUAUUGAUGACAGUAGGAAAUGUUAAACACCAGUGAAAAGCUUCAUGUUACUGGGCCGGGUGUAUUAAAAUAAAAUCAAAAAUUGAAAUAUUAGGUAUAUACACAACAGCAUAAGUGAAAUGUGAUGUGAUAGAGCAUUUUCCAUUCAAAGCUUACAGUAGAAAAAUUUAAUAAACAAAACCUCGUGUCUCUCUUGCUCCAGUGGCUCAGUUGAGCCUCCUGACUCAUUUAUUUUCCAUCACAUCUUCAUAUAAAUAGUCUCACACAGACCUUACACAAUUUAGAAAAGAUUGCUGAAUCACAAAAAUAGCCCCCAAAUAUGGCACUUUUACUUCCUAGAGUAUGACUAAAAUGAAUACUUGAUCACUAAAACAAUAUUCAAAAUCAUUUGAAGCAAUAAAGAAAAUUCUGAUGUUUUGUAAGGCCCUAGAAGUUUCUGCAGAGAUCAGAAUCUUAUUGUUCUUCCAAACUACAUUGUCCAAAAAAGUCUGGAUACAGGAAAUUGUGGAAUUGAAAAGCUGAACCAUUAAAAAGUAUUCCUUCUUAUGGCAGAGCAGUUUCUAAAGCUCCUUUCCAGGGUGGUCUGGGCAAACCCCGGCCGCUGGGGGGAGGUCCAUGUCGCUUAACAGGGCUGCCCUGUCUGCUUGCAGGUGACACUUUCAAGAAAAGAGACCCCUUCUUCCCAGCUGGGUUUCUGAGCGGUCUCCACCAAAGGAAACAUUGAACAGUCUCAGAUUUCAGGGGGUGGGAGAUCACUGAAAUCUGGGAACGACACUGAAGCUUCUGACUUCACCUGCAAAAUCUAACAGGUUGGAUUAGUAAAUUUUUUUUUUUUUAAACAAAGAAGCUAAAGCAUAGAGAAAA